AACGAACGCUGGCGGCAUGCCUAUCACAUGCAAGUCGAACGAGACCUUCGGGUCUAGUGGCGCACGGGUGCGUAACGCGUGGGAAUCUGCCCUUGGGUUCGGAAUAACAGUUAGAAAUGACUGCUAAUACCGGAUGAUGACUUCGGUCCAAAGAUUUAUCGCCCAGGGAUGAGCCUGCGUAGGAUUAGCUUGUUGGUGAGGUAAGAGCUCACCAAGGCGACGAUCCUUAGCUGGUCUGAGAGGAUGAUCAGCCACACUGGGACUGAGACACGGCCCAGACUCCUACGGGAGGCAGCAGUGGGGAAUAUUGGACAAUGGGCGAAAGCCUGAUCCAGCAAUGCCGCGUGAGUGAUGAAGGCCUUAGGGUUGUAAAGCUCUUUUACCCGGGAUGAUAAUGACAGUACCGGGAGAAUAAGCCCCGGCUAACUCCGUGCCAGCAGCCGCCGUAACAC
rnacentral:rRNA from 1 species